rnacentral:lncRNA from 1 species
GCCUGGGGCUGCUCCUCUGGAGGCUGUGUCAGCUCCAUGGAUACAGGAGAGCCCUGCUGGAGACCCACCCUGUGGGGGUGUGCAGCUGUGACACCACAGCAUCAUUAAUUUGGAUAAUAGGACUGAGCCACAGCAAACCACCCUGGAUUUGCAUAGCUCCAUGCCAUGUUUGUUUUUGCAGUGUUUCUGACAUAAACCCCUUUAGAGCUGCAUAGCUGAGAACCUUUUGGUACUAUGCAUUGUAUCCUGCUUUCUAUGAUAAUAGGAAAAAAAACCUUCUUUAUACGCUCAUGAUUUCAAGUACAUUUGGUUGGUUGGUUUGUAUGCUUGUUUUUCUAAGAAGAGCAAGGAGAAAGCUUUCAUUUUAUAGACAGCUCUGAUGUUUUAGCAUAUAAAUGGAUGAGGUUUUUUGUAUUUUUUCUUUUUCAGGUUUGCCCAUCUAGAGGUUCCAUGACUAUUUGGAAACAGAUGAGCAUCAUGCUUUCAUCCAGCCUCUGUUACUGGAAGGUCAGUUCUCCUCUCCUCCUGCUGUCUGCUCCUGAGAGACCUGUCCCUGCCAACACGCCUUGGACACAGCUGGUAGCCCUGGUGUGAGUGAGGCACCAGCAGAAGCAGAGAGGUGAGGUAAAGCAGCGGGUGUAGAGAUGCUCAGGAGCACCUCUGAGUGCUCUGAGCAUGGCCUCCCACUAUCUGCAGUGGUGUGUGCCCAUGCUUCUGUGGUGUUGAAGCAGGAGAGGUUGAGGGGAUGUAUCAGGGACAGCUGAAUGCAGGGAUUGGCCUUCCCUGGCAGAGGAGAGACUGAACAUGAGGAUGCACUCCAGUCACAUGUGUGCACAUGAACCUUGAGCUGACUCCUGAGGAGGUGAUUUCAGAGUACAGUUUAAGGUGGGGAUAUUAGGCACUUACUAAGUUUGAAAUAUGGAUUAAAUUUUCAUUGAGAACCUGCUGCAUACUCAGGACUACUUGAAAUCAGGCCAUUUUUUAAGCUGUAGGGUAGCCAGUAUAAUCCACAUUGCUGAGUCGUGGCUCUGCUGGAGCCAUUCAGGCUGGGAAGUUUGAUCAUGUGCCCUCUUUUGAGCUCCCAUACCUCAUGAUCCCUCUGUUCCCAAGGGAUUGUGUCCUUUUUGACUUAAUAUUCAGAGUAUUCAUUUGCUGCUCACUCCUAUAAAGUGAUGUUUUUU